rnacentral:rRNA from 1 species
GACGAACGCUGGCGGCGUGCUUAACACAUGCAAGUCGAACGGAAAGGCCCUGCUUUUGUGGGGUGCUCGAGUGGCGAACGGGUGAGUAACACGUGAGUAACCUGCCCUUGACUUUGGGAUAACUUCAGGAAACUGGGGCUAAUACCGGAUAGGAGCUCCUGCUGCAUGGUGGGGGUUGGAAAGUUUCGGCGGUUGGGGAUGGACUCGCGGCUUAUCAGCUUGUUGGUGGGGUAGUGGCUUACCAAGGCUUUGACGGGUAUCCGGCCUGAGAGGGUGACCGGCCACAUUGGGACUGAGAUACGGCCCAGACUCCUACGGGAGGCAGCAGUGGGGAAUAUUGCACAAUGGGCGGAAGCCUGAUGCAGCAACGCCGCGUGCGGGAUGACGGCCUUCGGGUUGUAAACCGCUUUCGCCUGUGACGAAGCGUGAGUGACGGUAAUGGGUAAAGAAGCACCGGCUAAUUACGUG